rfam:Myotis lucifugus cont2.32961, whole genome shotgun sequence.
GAGACACCCUUAUGGGGCAGGACUUGCUUCAGUGGGGCUUUGGUGCUCACUGAGUCUGCCCCUUGAGAGUGUCUCA